rnacentral:rRNA from 1 species
GAUGAACGCUGGCGGCGUGCUUAACACAUGCAAGUCGAACGGAAAGGCCCUGCUCUUGCGGGGUGCUCGAGUGGCGAACGGGUGUGUAACACGUGAGUAUCCCCCCCUUGACUUUGGGAUAACUCCAGGAAACGGGGGAUAAUACCGGAUAGGAGCUCCUGCAGCAUGGUGGGGGUUGGAAAGUUCCGGCUGUGGGGGAUCGACUCGCGGGUUACCAGCUUGUUGGGGGGGUAGUGGCUAACCAAGGCUUCGACGGAUAGCCGGCCUGAGAGGGUGGCCGGGGACAAUGGGCCUGAGGGACGGACCAGACUCCAACGGGAGGCAGCAGUGGGAAAUAUUGCACAAUGAGGGGGAGCGUGAGGCGACGACGCCGCGUGCGGAAUGACCGCCUUCGGGUGGUGAACCGCUUUCGCCUGAGACGCAGCGUGAGUGACGGUAAUGGAUAAAGAAGCACCGGCUAACUACGUG